CAUCACUGUUGCUCCAGCUCCCGCUGGAGGACCUGCUGCUGCUGUCGCUGUCAUCUGUUCCACUUGACCCUUCCUCUUCUUCGCUGCCUUCACCCCCCUCUCCACUUGGGGAUGCUUGGAUGAUUCUAUUCCACAUGUCUCUGUGCCAGGUGACAUUAGCUGCGUCUUCUCUGUCCUCUGCUACCGAUUUCUGGUGGUAGGUCCAGAGUUUGCUCAGCACCAUUUUCACACAGCCCACUACCUCUACAUCCUCUUAUGAGCACAGC